ACGCUCGACACCUACGGGGACAGCAGUGGGGAAUAUUGCACAAUGGGGGAAACCCUGAUGCAGCGACGCCGCGUGAGCGAAGAAGUAUUUCGGUAUGUAAAGCUCUAUCAGCAGGGAAGAUAAUGACGGUACCUGACUAAGAAGCUCCGGCUAAAUACGUGCCAACAGCCGCGGUAAUCUGAGCGGGCUGGCAAGGC
rnacentral:rRNA from 1 species